rnacentral:tRNA from 1 species
GGGCCGGUAGUCUAGCGGUAUGACGCCGUCCUGACGAGGCGGAGGUCGAGGGUUCAACUCCCUCCCGGCCCA